rnacentral:lncRNA from 1 species
ACUUGCCCGAAUCCUUAAAACUCCACCAUUAACAUCAAAAUCUUUGUUUUUCAUCAUAUUAAUGCCUAUGUUCCAUCAAAACUUCCAAAACUCGCAUUCGAUCAAUAGCCUAACCAAAACACGUCCGAUUGAUCUGAAACUUUGCACACACGUCCAAAUGAUAUGACGGUGCUACAACUACUUCUGAAAUCCCGUUCCAACCCUUGGAUAAAAUUUCACUACCAGUCCAGAAACUCCAAAAUUCUAACUUUCGGCAUUUCUAGCCUUAAUGAGCUACAGACAUCCAAAAUGCAUUCUGAACACGCUCUCAACCCCGAAAUCACCUAGCGGAUCUAAUGGAACCAUAGGGUUUCCAUUCCCAGGUCGUCUUGACACUAUUCUGAAUAUGGACCAUUUUUCAACACUUAAGAUCUCAUUUAGGGACUAAGUAUUCCAAAACACAUUGAAUUCUAUUACCGAACAUCCCGGCAAACCAAAAUAGCAGAAAUGAAUUUAGGGGAAGAAGUUAAUGGGGAAGCGGGGCAUAAAUUCCAAAGACGACCGACAGGGUCGUCACAAGCGAGUUGUGGAACAAAAGUUGGCAAAGAUCAUCACAAGUUACAUUCAUAAAUAUGCUGCAAAAUUAUGUCAACUGUAGCGGAGCGCUUUUCCCAAUAUGCUUGGAAUUAUA